AACGUAGGAGACAAACGUUAUCCGGAGUUACUGGGCGUAAAGGGCGUGUAGGUGGUUACGUAAGUCUGGCGUGAAAUUUCUCGGCUUAACCGAGGCAGGUCGUCGGAUACUGCGAGACUAGAGGACGGUAGAGGCGUGUGGAAUUCCGGGUGUAGUGGUGAAAUGCGUAGAGAUCCGGAGGAACACCAGUGGCGAAGGCGACACGCUGGGCCGUACCUGACACUGAUGCGCGACAGCAUGGGGAGCAACAGG
rnacentral:rRNA from 1 species